GAUGAACGCUAGCUGCAUGCUUAACACAUGCAAGUCGAGGGACCGGCACACGGGUGAGUAACACGUAUACAACCUUCCCUUUACUCUGGGAUAGCCUUUCGAAAGAAAAAUAGAUACCCGAUAUAAGGGAUGGGGAUGGGUUCCAUUAGGUUGUUGGUGAGGUAACGGCUCACCAAGCCUUCGAUGGAUAGGGGUUCUGAGAGGAAGGUCCCCUACAUUGGAACUGAGACACGGUCCAAACUCGUAGGGGAGGCAGCAGUGAGGAAUAUUGGUCAAGGGGCGCUAGCCGGAACCAGCCAAGUAGCGUGAAGAAUGAAGGCUUAUGGGUCGUAAACUUCUUUUAUAGAAGAAUAUGUAUUAUAUGAAUAAGGAUCGGCUAACUCCGUGCCAGCAGCCGCGGUAAUUC
rnacentral:rRNA from 1 species